CCCCUUGUGGUGUAGUUGGCUAUCACGUUCGGCUGUAAAGGAUAUUUAUAUGAUACCGAAAGGUCACCGGCUCGAUUCCGGUCGAGGGGA